GGAAUUUUGCGCAAUGGGCGCAAGCCUGACGACGCAACGCCGCGUGGAGGAUGAAGGUCUUCGGAUUGUAAACUCCUGUUGAUCGGGACGAAACCCCUUUCGGUGAAUAGCCGAGAGGGUUGACGGUACCGGUUGAGGAAGCCCAGGCUAACCCUGUGCCCGCAGCCGCGGUAAUACAGAGGGGGCGAGCGUUGUUCGGAAUUACUGGGCGUAAAGGGCGCGUAGGUGGCCAUUUAAGUUGGACGUGAAAUCCCUCGGCUCAACUGAGGAACUGCGUCUGAUACUGGGUGGCUUGAGUUCGGGAGAGGGAUGUGGAAUUCCAGGUGUAGCGGUGAAAUGCGUAGAUAUCUGGAGGAACACCGGUGGCGAAGGCGGCAUCCUGGACCGACACUGACACUGAGGCGCGAAAGCCAGGGGAGCAAAC
rnacentral:rRNA from 1 species